GAGGACCUCUGAGAUCUGCUGAUCAUAGUGCACUAAUGAAAAGGCAGCCCUGUCACAAGGUACCUUGAGGAUUCAGCAGAGAUGGGAUCACAUCCCUAUCAGGCCAAGUGGCAGCCUGGGAAGCUCACAUAUGCACCCCUUGCAUUUGUGAGAUAAAUGUGUCAGCAGUACAGCCUUCACUUCUAGUGAACCAGUGAGAGCACUUAAUUUAACCUGGUGUGUCAGUAACUGAGCUGCUGUUGAGUGAUGCAGGCUUUACCCCUUUCCAGAGCCGAAUCCCCCAUGCCCACCCACACUUUCCAGCCCAUGGAGCCAUAUAGCCGUGCCCAGGCCAUAGCAUAGCAUAGCAGAGCCAGUGCCACUGGUCGCCCGUCAUCAUGCUGUAGGUGCUUGCCUGCUGGAGAGGUACCUGUAGCUUUCUCCUCCAACCUAAGGAGAUGAAGUCUUGCAUGUUUUCAACUUCUACAUUACAACAAACACCCAUGCCUUCCUUAUGGAGCCACCCUCUAGCCAUUGUGGCUAACAAAAGCAACAAAUAAAGAGGAGUCAUUGCUUUGCCUGUUCAUGUACUCCUCCUGUCCUGGCUGUGUUUCCUCUUUCCAGCAAACCUCAUUUCCAUGCUUUGAUCUGUGGAUGCUACUUACAUGUUACGAUUGCUGCAGCCCAUGAGCCACUGACACAGAAGGUUCACUGUUAGAAAAGAAUUUGAAGGAAAAGAAGGUAACUGCUUAGUAACAACACUAAAAAGGUCAUAAUUAAUGAUUUGGUUGUAAAAGUGAAAAGCUGAAGCUCAAAAUGUACUAAAUAGUUUAUUGUUAAAAAGGGAAACUUCAUCUGUGGCAACAUUUUUAAGCAGGUGAGGUGGAGCUUACCAAUGAAAGGGAAGCUUUCUUUCUUCAGUGUUCAGCUUAGGUGUCAAAACAUGUUUUAAGCGAAUUUACUUCCACUGGUAAAGGCAGCCAAUUUUGUUUGUUUGUGAGCUGUCUCUGAUUGUUUUACUUAGUUUCUCUGGAAAUAAACCAAAGCAUUGGUUUUGAUUCACAGAUCCUUACACUCAAAGAGGAGUGACACAAGCAUUGGCUCUGAGCUGCAGCACAACGCAAGCCACACUCUUUCACUGCUCCAAGUUAAGUGGUGUGUGUGGUUAAGAUAGAAUAAAUGUUUUAGAAAAAUAAUCAAAGUUGUCUUAAAUAGUCCGUGUGAUGUAAUGAAGUGGUCCUGAUGAUUUACCAUCACAGUUAGAAGACAUAUUUUAUUUCCAGGAUCUUCUUCCAGGAUCUUUCUAACACAUACAGGAAUGACAAGAGAUACAGAGUCACAAGAACAGGUAAUAAACACUGGAAAUUAUGCAGAGCACAAGAUCUAGAAGAAAAGGGAGGCAAAGGAAAAUCUUGCCACUCCAUCUGAUGAGACGUUGCUUGUUACAGUACACAGUGCACUCCAGAAGUUCCUUUGUGCCUAUUUGCCUCCUACAGAACCCCCACCAAGGUGCCUUCAGCAAAAGCAGACUACCCCCUGAAUCCUGCUCAGACUUUGGUGAGAGAUGGAGCUAAGCUGGGCUGUCAAGACCAAGAUCUGACAUCUUUUGCACUGGGACUGACUGUUGAUGAGCCAUGUCGUUAACACAGUGCCUUUUGUUGUGAUAAAUGGCUCAUGGCAGGGAAGCUAGCUGAGAUGACGGAUCCUCUUGCAACCUAUACAACAAGAAGACUGGUACAAAGCUUUUGAAAUUGUAUCUGAGUGGAACUGUUAUGAAAAUUGUAUGAAGUUGUUAUAAAAAUGUGUAAAUAAAUAUGUUUAGAUAUGGUCAGAGAAAAGAAAGAACAGCACAAUGCCCAUCUGACUGGGAAUAUAAAAUAAUGUCCACAAAGAGAUUAGGUUGUCUGUAUAAAAAUACUGUGCAGGUUAUACAUUCAUACAACUUGGGCAGAUUUUACUGCAGUAAAAAACUCUUAGGAUAGAAAUAUGAGGAAGGAAAUGCUCUAAGAAGAACCCUUCCAGUACUUAAAGGAGGGGGAAUGACUGUUUACAUGUGUUGAUAGUGAUAGGACAAGUGGGAAUGGUUUAAAUUUUAAUCUGGUACCUUUUGCUCAAGAACUCUGCUGCUCAGUUCCAACAAUACCAAAUGUAAAAGUGAGGAAAGAUCACAAGGAAGAUCCUUAUUAAAACCACAACAAAUAAAUUAUAGUUCUCUCUUAUAGAAACUUGGUCACAGGCCCUUUGUGAGGAUUCUGUUUCCACUGAAGCCAAAUAGCUUUGGCUAAAUUUUUCACUGGCUAAGACACAUUACAAUUUACAUGUGAAUUAAUGUAAACCAUAUUAGUUUCAGCAAGUAAACUAUAGUUUUCAAUUUGAUCUUCAUUUCUGUCUCUGAUGCUAUAAGCUGAAAUUUAUUUUGUCAUUUCAGAAGAGUGUUUUCCUGGGGAUAUAAAAUAAGGACCCCAGUAGAAAAUUAUGCAAAUAAAUAGUUCAUCUGGCCUGGACUCACUUCAUAAUUGGGCCAACAUUCUUCAUAUGAAAGACAGUGCAUUAGUUCAACUGACUGAGAAGCUGUUUCACUUUUAUGGCAGUGUUGUACAAUCCCCAUAUUGGCUACUCAUUCAACAGUUUUCUCCAGUACAUUUCCUCAGUUGCACAAGGGAACCACUGUGAACAAUAUAAAACAACAAAUUAUAUUAUUUUAUGGAUACAGAUGUUUCUAAGCUCAUUUCAUCUAUAAAAAUUGAACAUUCUUUCUAUUCUUAAAAAAAUAAAUAAAUAGUUUAUUGCUUGUGCAUGGAAUUGGACAUUUUUUCAGGUUUUAGGAUAUCUGAUAAAAAGAGAUAUAAUCUGUCUUCUGUUAAUAAUAUUGAG